rnacentral:rRNA from 1 species
UACGAAGGGGGCUAGCGUUGCUCGGAAUCACUGGGCGUAAAGGGUGCGUAGGCGGGUCUUUAAGUCAGGGGUGAAAUCCUGGAGCUCAACUCCAGAACUGGCCUUUGAUACUGAAGAUCUUGAGUUCGGGAGAGGUGAGUGGAACUGCGAGUGUAGAGGUGAAAUUCGUAGAUAUUCGCAAGAACACCAGUGGCGAAGGCGGCUCACUGGCCCGAUACUGACGCUGAUGCACGAAAGCGUGGGGAGCAAACAGG